rnacentral:rRNA from 1 species
GACGAACGCUGGCGGCGUGCUUAACACAUGCAAGUCGAACGGAAAGGCCCUGCUUUUGUGGGGUGCUCGAGUGGCGAACGGGUGAGUAACACGUGAGUAACCUGCCCUUGACUUUGGGAUAACUUCAGGAAACUGGGGCUAAUACCGGAUAGGAGCUCCUGCUGCAUGGUGGGGGUUGGAAAGUUUCGGCGGUUGGGGAUGGACUCGCGGCUUAUCAGGUUGUUGGUGGGGUAGUGGCUUACCAAGGCUUUGACGGGUAGCCGGCCUGAGAGGGUGACCGGCUACAUUGGGACUGAGAUACGGCCCAGACUCCUACGGGAGGCAGCAGUGGGGAAUAUUGCACAAUGGGCGGAAGCCUGAUGCAGCAACGCCGCGUGCGGGAUGACGGCCUUCGGGUUGUAAACCGCUUUCGCCUGUGACGAAGCGUGAGUGACGGUAAUGGGUAAAGAAGCACCGGCUAACUACGUG